rnacentral:rRNA from 1 species
UGGGGAAUAUUGGACAAUGGGCGAAAGCCUGAUCCAGCCAUGCCGCGUGUGUGAAGAAGGUCUUCGGAUUGUAAAGCACUUUAAGUUGGGAGGAAGGGCAGUAAGCGAAUACCUUGCUGUUUUGACGUUACCGACAGAAUAAGCACCGGCUAACUCUGUGCCAGCAGCCGCGGUAAUACAGAGGGUGCAAGCGUUAAUCGGAAUUACUGGGCGUAAAGCGCGCGUAGGUGGUUCGUUAAGUUGAAUGUGAAAGCCCCGGGCUCAACCUGGGAACUGCAUCCAAAACUGGCGAGCUAGAGUAGGGCAGAGGGUGGUGGAAUUUCCUGUGUAGCGGUGAAAUGCGUAGAUAUAGGAAGGAACACCAGUGGCGAAGGCGACCACCUGGGCUCAUACUGACACUGAGGUGCGAAAGCGUGGGGAGCAAACUGG